rnacentral:rRNA from 1 species
AAACUUAAAGGAAUUGACGGGGAGCACCGACAACGGGUGGAGCUUGCGGUUUAAUUGGAUUCAACGCCGGAAAUCUUACCGGGACCGACAGCAAUAUGAAGGCCCAGGCUGAAGACUUUGCCGGAUUAGCUGAGAGGUGGUGCAUGGCCGUCGUCAGUUCGUACUGUGAAGCAUCCUGUUAAGUCAGGCAACGAGCCGAGACCCACGCCCACAGUUGCCAGCGUACUCUCUGGAGUGACGGGUACACUGUGGGGACCGCCGCUGGCUAAAGCGGAGGAAGGAAUGGGCAACGGUAGGUCAGUAUGCCCCGAAUAUCCCGGGCUACACGCGAGCUACAAUGGUUGGUACAAUGGGUAGUCUACCCCGAAAGGGGACGGGAAUCUCCUAAAACCAAUCUUAGUUCGGAUUGAGGGCUGCAACUCGCCCUCAUGGAGCUGGAAUCCGUAGUGAUCGCGUUUCAACAGAACGCGGUGAAUACGUCCCUGCUCCUU